UUGGGACUGGUGCAAUUGGUAGCACAUUUGAGUAUCAGGCAAAAGGUCCUGGUUCGAGUCCAGGGUUCGGGA